AGUGAACGCUGGCGGUAGGCCUAACACAUGCAAGUCGAACGGCAGCACAGUAAGAGCUUGCUCUUACGGGUGGCGAGUGGCGGACGGGUGAGGAAUACAUCGGAAUCUACUUUUUCGUGGGGGAUAACGUAGGGAAACUUACGCUAAUACCGCAUACGACCUACGGGUGAAAGCAGGGGAUCUUCGGACCUUGCGCGAUUGAAUGAGCCGAUGUCGGAUUAGCUAGUUGGCGGGGUAAAGGCCCACCAAGGCGACGAUCCGUAGCUGGUCUGAGAGGAUGAUCAGCCACACUGGAACUGAGACACGGUUCAGACUCCUACGGGAGGCAGCAGUGGGGAAUAUUGGACAAUGGGCGCAAGCCUGAUCCAGCCAUACUGCGUGGGUGAAGAAGGCCUUCGGGUUGUAAAGCCCUUUUGUUGGGAAAGAAAAGCAGCAGGUUAAUACCCCGCUGUUCUGACGGUACCCAAAGAAUAAGCACCGGCUAACUUCGUG
rnacentral:rRNA from 1 species